UACAAUUUUCAAACAGGGAGGUCAACAGCAUGUGAAAUUGUCAGACAAACAACUUCCGCCCUUUGGGACGCUCUUCAGUCAACGUAUUUAAGAUUUCCAGCAACUUCCCAGGAGUGGCUAAAGAUCGCUGCAGACAUGGAAGAAUUUUGGCAUUUUCCCAAUUGCAUAGGUAGCAUCGACGGCAAACAUGUGCACAUCCAAUGCCCAGACAACUCAGGAUCGAGGAAUUUAAAUUAUAAGAAAACAUUUAGCGUUGUCCUCCUAGCUGUGUGUGAUGCACAUUACAAGUUCACCUAUGUAGACAUUGGCCAUUACGGCGGUGAAGGUGACAGCGGUAUAUUUCAGCGAUCUCCUCUACUGAAAGUGCUGGAAAAGGGUUUGUUGGGCAUUCCUCAUCCAAGGAGCAUUGGCGCAAUAGGUCCCAUUCCAUACCACAUGGUUGGCGAUGAAGCUUUUCCGCUGAAGCCAUUCAUGAUAAGGCCCUAUCCAAGACGAG